CGCCGCACACAACUAGUACCGCCGCCCGCCCACCUCGCACGCGCUCCCACGCCACCACCAGGACCUCCUCGCCGCCCGCCCGCCCUACCCAGUGCCGCUGGUCGCCCUCAUCCGCGGCGGCUGCCGGCGCCGGCCGGGCCACGACGACCCCGACGAAGGCGACGAAGCCCGGGUGCCGUGGCGUGGCGGAGAGCACGGCGACGACGGCGGCCGUCCUACCGCUGCCGCCUCCCUGCAGCCUAUCCUUGUAGACGCUGACGUGGCUGCCCUUCCCGUGGCUGCCCGCGCCGCCACCAGGACCUCCUCGCCGCCGCCCGCCUUCGCCCACUCGUCUGCGCGCACAGCCCACCUCCUCCUCAUCGCCACCCGCCCGCCACACUACAGCGCCACCCUGCCUCCUCACGCACGUGCGUGCCCCGUCUCCUCCUCGCUGCAGCGCGCCCCGUCCUCGGAACCCCAUCCUCGCCGCUGUCCGCCCCGUCCUCGUGCCUGCAUCCCGCCCAAAUCCCCCAACUGAGCUCCGGACGCAACGGAUCGAGCCCCUAUCCCGUGCCUGCAAUUCCAGAUGCAAAUAAGUCUGUCGGUGUUGUCCCCCAAAUCAGGCUCUUGGCGUUGUCCCCCAACUGAGCGCUGCCUCCCCAACCAUGCUGCUAUCUAGAGCUGCCUGCAGCAUUGCUGCCCUCCUGAAGUCCAGUUAAGGAGACUGUUUAGGACUGUGUUCACUCUGCAGGACAGAAAUUAAUAUAAAAGAUUUGCUCUGUAGCAGCUUGCACAUCGUUUUGGAGCAUCUACAACACUCAUAGUAGCCAACCUUUGUAGCUGAGAAGUUAUUAGGUGAAGGAGCUUGUGUGUUAAGGAACCACUAGGCGCUGCUAGUUAACUAGUAUGCUACGCUGACAUAUAGUGGAAGUAGCAAAAUUGUCAACAUCAAGCCAGAAAUUCAGAUGAUCUUUUGGAAGCUGUGGUGAUUUCAGUGGAUCUUUUGGGGCUGUGAUUUUGGUGGAAGGAUGAACCUCUGAAUAUGAUGUCUUUUGUAGAACAAAUGCUAAUGGUUGUGCAGCUAGACUAUAGAUAUAUGAACUGCUAGCUGUUAUCUUGACUCAUGGCUUGUAUGGAUGAUGUGCUGCUAUAUAUAUAUUCACCUAUGAAGAAUAUGUCUGAUUAUGUGGAAUAUAUGACUAUGUUGUAUGGACAACUCAUGGAAUUGAAUGUUGUCUCGAAAUAUAUUGAGACCUUGUUAUCAA